AGAGCUCCAGUGGCUGGUCACGGAUAGGCUAGAGGAGGUUAGCGUUUCGAGUACGCGCUCUGCGUCCAAGCGUCGCGUCGCGUCGCGUCACGACGCGCGAGUAUUGCGAGACGUCGUCGAUCAGUAUCGUGGAAGCGCGCGUCCCGUACCGCUCGGGCAACCCUUAAAUCGCGUGCAACAUUUCACGAAGAACGACGUUUCGUCAUUGAUGUGUGAAAUUAUUCGCGAACGAAUCGAGUUUACGUCGAGAUCUUGACAUACCGGGCUAAAGCUGUUUUCAAGGAGGACGCGAUGGAAUGAGUUUUCAAUGAAAUUGCGGACGUGACAAAAUGUUGCGAAACGUAGUUGGAGCAAACGAAAGGAAUCGACAGUAUGAUGCUGAAACGUCGAUUGAAACGAGGAUCGUCGGAAGUAUCGUGGAAACAGGCAUGAUUGUGAGCAGAGACAGAAGCAUUCUUGUCCUCGUUCGAAAUGGCGAAUAUCUGCAAAUAAUUUUCUGUUAGUCCCUGGACGUAGCGA